GACUUCCAUUUGUACGAUAUCUAUGUUUCUUUUCCAAAACCCUAGAGAGCCUCCAUCUCCAUUCUCCAUCUCCAUUCCAAGCAACUGAUCUUCUCUUCAAAAUGUUUUCGUUUUAUGAAUGGUGAGAAGACAUAAAUUAAUUGAAACCCUAGAGCAUCUUCUCCUUCACAUUUCCUACCGAUCAAGAUCAAUUGGUUGAAUAUUUAUCAAUCUUACAAUACUAAUCUCAUCAAUGUAUCAAAACUUUGCAAUCAAGAGAUCAACAAGAGAUUCACGGUUUUCUUCAUCGACUAAAAUCAAGGAUUCAUCGACGGUCCAAUCGGGUGCUGCUACAGAUCGAAUGUGGAGGCUGCUGAUGUCAUCGUGUUCCAUGGUUAUGGUGGCUGAGAGGGUUUCAAUGUUUCAAUUCUGCAUUUUUAGUCUAUCGCAAAAAUAGGUUUUUUUUAGUCUUUGUUAUUAUGAUUAUGUCGUUUUAUAGCUAUUUGGUUAUCUUAUUAGUGUUUAUUUCGUCUUUUAAUAGGAUCGAGAAAGAAUUCGAAUCUUGAAUCAAAUCUAAUUGACUAUUUUUUUUAUUUAAGUUGUUUUUAAAUAGAUUUGAAGAAUUGGAAUAAGAUCAGUGAGUAUUAGAGUGGUUUAUGUUAAAUUUGUGUGUUGGUGUAUCUUGAUUGAUCAUGAGGUGUAAUUAUAGGAUUGGUGAUGUUUGUGUUCGGUUUCGGUAGAACAAACGAGUUUUUCGAUGGCAUAGGUAUUUUCCGGUGACUCCUUAGUCCUGACCCGUCAUUCAGGUGAGUUUGGUUUAUAUAUUUUAUUUCCGGUCAGAUUUGGUAUUCAUUUUUAGUCUCUCGCAAAAAUAGGUUUUUUUAGUCUUUGUUAUUAUGAUUAUGUUGUUUUAUAGGUUUUAUUCAUCGACUAAAAUCAAGGAUUCAUCGACGGUCCAAUCGGGUUUAAAUUUGAAUUUUAUGUUGGCAGGAUUGUUGUUUUUACACCUGAACUUUAAGAAAAAGUUCUGCAUUUUUGCAAUUAGUUUUCCUGAAAAUACAGGUUUAUUUUCCCCUUUGUAUUGAUUGUUAUCAUGAAUAUUAUUGAUUUUUUAUUUCAAAAACUUUUUGUUUUUCCAAAAUUCACAAAAUUCAAUGACAUAAUUGAGCUCCAAGUUUUAGAACAUCUUUAAUUUGUCAAAUGGAUUCCAUAUUGCUAUAACAAUCAUGGAGACCCAUCUACCAAGAAUUCUUGAAGAAUUAAAUAAGUUUUUUAAUAAAUUAGCGUCUUCACUCUUGAGGCAUAAUAUAAAAAAAAACUUGAAUUGAAAUUAAAGCUAAUUUGUUCAGAUGAGCACUCAGUGUUUCCAGAUUGUUGCUUUCACAGUUGAAUUUUCCAAAAAAAAAGAAAAAAUUUAUAUGACUGUUGCAAUUGGUUUUCUUGUAAAUACAGGGUGUUGUGUACUGGCAACCACCCCGAUAGGCUUUAGAGAAGGUGCAAAAACUUGUAUGGGAGCCUUCUAUUAGUCGUUAUGGUGCCGAUGAAGGUCUUCCUGAGCUUAGGGAAGCAUUGACUAAAAAGUUGCGUGAAGAAAAUAAUAUAUGCAAAUCUUCAGUGAUGGUUACUGCUGGCGCGAAUCAGGUAUUUAAGGUUGAAUUGAUGUUAGUUAAAUUCUUUCAAGGCGUUUUACAAAGUUUUUUAUACCGUUGUUGUAUGCCUUUGUGAAUAUUGUUCUCACUCUGUGUGAUGAUGGGGAUUCGGUUGUUAUGUUUGCACCAUACUACUUCUAUGCGUACAUGUCGUUCCAGAUGACGGGUGUCACUAACAUUCUUGUGGGUACCGGUGAUCCAGAUACGCUGCAUCCUGAUGCAGGUUGAAGCUUUGUUAAAUUGUUUUCCUGCACUUUCGAUUUGUUAAAAACUUUGUGAUUUUCGUUUUGCAAUAGUUUAUUAGAUUGGUGCAUCACUUUAUUAAUUCCCAAAUUCAUGAAACUUUAGUUUGACGCCUUUGCUCGGGGCCUUUAUAGCCGAUUCAUUCGCUGGCCGGUUUUGGACCAUCACAGUUGCUUCCAUUAUUUUUCAAAUUGUAAGCUUUCAUUUGUUCAUGCAGGAUUUGUUAAUAACUUGUAGUAAGCCUGGCAAAACGAUCGGUUUGGGAACAGGUUAAUAGGUUUUCUGGUUGAUAUGGACCAUCUAAAAAACAUCAGUUGGUUCGGGUCAAAAUGGGUUAUGACCAAAAUGGACUUGAGUUGAAGCAAGUGGUGUUAGAAAGAGCGGAAAAAAAACCUUUACAAAAUGAGUCUUGCAAGUGCACUUUUUGCAUUUCUUAUGUUGGAUACUCAUAAAUACAAAUCAUCCCACAACAAGAUCACAUCCCCAUUAUUUCCUGUGCUGGCGUGUUGGGGUCUCGGGUAUGUGGUGGCUACUCUUUUUAUGUACAUAUUAUUUAAAUAGUUUACAACAUCUUUUGGUCUCUUAAUAUACAGAUUAAAUGCCUUACAUUUUAAAAGACGAUAAAUAUGAGACAAAGUACAAGACUGACUUAAAAGAGGGAACUCAAUUUACUAAGGGAAAGGUUUUGGUAACUCGAAGGACAUGCAUCUUCAAAGGGACUCGACUAUCUUUAAAUUGUGUAUCCACUGUAUCACUAAUUUAUGUAACAUGAGACUUUGUAUUUUAUUUUAUUUGUACACUUAAUAUUUAUCUUAAUAGUUUUCUCCAACCCGGAUAGCACCCGGGGGAUAACCUAGUUACAUAUAAA